rnacentral:rRNA from 1 species
GACGUAGGGCGCAAGCGUUGUCCGGAUUUAUUGGGCGUAAAGAGCUCGUAGGCGGCUUGUUGCGUCGUCCGUGAAAACCUGUGGCUCAACUACAGGCUUGCGGUCGAUACGGGCGGGCUGGAGUUCGGUAGGGGAGACUGGAAUUCCUGGUGUAGCGGUGAAAUGCGCAGAUAUCAGGAGGAACACCGGUGGCGAAGGCGGGUCUCUGGGCCGAUACUGACGCUGAGAUACGAAAGCGUGGGGAGCGAACAGG